UUAGGAAUAUUGCGCAAUGGGAGAAAUCCUGACGCAGCAACGCCGCGUGAGGGAUGAAGGCCUUCGGGUUGUAAACCUCUUUUGGCGGGGACAAACACAAUGAUGGUACUCGCAGAAAAAGCACCGGCGAACUCUGUGCCAGCAGCCGCGGUAAUACAGAGGGUGCUAGCGUUAUUCGGAUUCACUGGGCGUAAAGGGCGCGUAGGUGGUUUAGCAAGUUUGAUGUGAAAGCCCUGGGCUCAAUCCAGGAAGUGCAUCAAAUACUGCUAGGCUAGAGCAUGGGAGAGGAGGACGGAAUUCCUGGUGUAGAGGUAAAAUUCGUAGAUAUCGGGAGGAACACCAGUGGCGAAGGCGGCCUGCUGGACAUUAACUGACGCUGAGGCGCGAAAGCGUGGGGAGCAAACA
rnacentral:rRNA from 1 species